GUGGACAUAGUUUAACAAAAACAUUAGAUUGUGAUUCUAAAAAUAGGGGUAAAGCCCUCCUGCCACCGA
rnacentral:tRNA from 1 species